ensembl:lncRNA
GACUGAACUUUGAACAGUUUUUUAUAAGAUGAACUGGUGUUACACAGCGUGUGUCAUUGCUCUGUUGAAAUGAAAGCUGAUGAUGGACUUACAAAAUGUGAUAAUUCUUCUACUGUUGUCUUGCACCACUGUGUUUACAGUACUGCAUGGACAGAAAGUUGUCACUGAUCUUAAGGUUACUGGGUACCAGGGUCAUGAUGUCACACUGUUGUGCCAAUAUAUCAAUGGAAACACAGAAGACAAAAUACUACAAAUGCAGUGAACGUGGCAGAAUGAGUCCAGUUAAUAUGAAAUCAUGGUCUUUAGCACAGACCAUGGCCUUUCUCUGCAUGACACAUUCCUGAAAGACAGAGUCAGCUUCAGAAAGAGCUCACCGCCGAUCUAUGAGGCCUCCAUCAUCAUCAAAGAUGUGAAGAUGAGUGAUCAGGGAGUUUACAGCUGUGCCUACACAACCUUCCCUAGCGGCAGUCAUACAGGACAAACCACUCUUACAGUGUUAGAAGAUACAACUCAGAGCCCCAGUGACCUGCAGGAUGUCACCUAUUCUGAUGUCACAAUACUGAAACCAGGCAAAGCUAACAGAAGCACCUCGUCAUCGGGGGACAUUGAAUACUCUGCGGUUUCCUUCAGUGGUCGGUCAGGAUCAGCGCCCCUGCGAGCCUCAGACUGCUUUGGGUUUCCACACAGCAGAGCAUGAAACUCUGUAUGCACAGGUGAAAAAAGACUAAUUUUAAGUACAAAUGUCACAUCUACUAAAGGUUUCUAGGUGUUUGAACAGUAGAGACAAUAAAGGGCUGAUCACAACAAGGACGACA